UUCUUGCUCAGAAUACCUUCAUGAUUUCUUGCUAAAAUUCCAAAAUCUUUAGCUUGGCAUUUGGGAUUUUCUACAGUAGGAACCCUGUCCAUCACAUAAACCUUAACGUCACUACAUGUGCUUAUGCAAAAAGGGCUGCCUGAAUGAGUUGCUUGAAUGUAUGUACUAUUUGAAUAAUUACCUGUUUGCCAUUGCGUGCUGUUUAUAUUACCUGGAAUGCCAUCCUUUUCUUCUUGAGAGCUUUAGCACAAAUCCCUCCUCAGUAAAAAUAGUAGCUUAAGUUUCCUGAGUGCUUACGUCUGUGAGGCACCAUGCCUUUAAUUUCCACUAUUGCAUUGAAGCAGUGGUUAUAGUUAUCAGUCAAGCCUUGUACAUUAAAAUAUACACACCCAAAUAUAUAUACAUACCUUGUGACACAGGUACUGUUAUCAUCAACUUGCAUUUGGAGGAUUUGUCCAAGAUCACAUACCUAGUAAGUAGCAAGAGUGGGUCUCUGUCUCAUGUAAUUCCAGAGCCCAGGUGCUUAGUCAUACUCCAGUGCCAUAGCACUUAUAGCUAACACUUACUAGAGGACCAGUUACAUGUCAGGGACUGCUAUAAGGGCUUACAUAUUUGAUCCUUUGAACACCCUAAUGAGGUAGCAACUGCAGUGAUCUCUGUUGUAUAUAUGAUGAAAUUGACGCUUUGAGAAGUAACUUACCCGCAGUCUCAUAUCUGCGAAAUGGGAAAGCCAGAGUUAGAACCCAGGCAGUCUGCUUUUGGAAUUCUACUGUAAGUCUCUUUGGUAAGCUGUCAAAUUGUACAGCCACAGAGGGAAAAAUUUACUGUUUGUCCAUUUAUUUGUCAUUAUAUAAGGGCUUGGGUAUAAAGAAAUAAGCAUUAUAUAGGCGUUAUAUAAGGACUUGGAUAUAAAGAAAUGAAACAAGAAGAAGAAAAUCCCAUCUUCUCUAAACUCAUAGAGCUUGCGUUGUAGUACCACUGUCUAUACCUGAUCCUCAAGGGCACAGAUGUGGUAUUUAGUUGUUCUGUAUUAGUAGUACCUUGCGCGAGUAAGUAUUAAUGUGUUGGUGAUGAUAAUUCAUUGGCUUUUCUGUUACCUCCUGCCAAGGAGACUUUGCCCUGAUUUAGGCUUAUUAAUAAUUUUUUUUUUCCAGACAACUCGUAGCCAGGCGUUCAUUCUCUUCCCGCUCAUCUUUCCUCUUCCCAUUUGAAUCAUGUUUUUGUUGACAUCUAGAGUAUUUUAUCCCAUUAUGUGCUAUGGAGCAUUCUUCUAUUUGUAGGGAUAGGAUUACCACCCUGGAGAAUUAAUUUUUUUCUUUUUUCCUCAGUACUAUACUGGCAAUUGCUGGAGAAGAUUUUGCAAUUGUUGCUUCUGAUACUCGAUUGAGUGAAGGGUUUUCAAUUCAUACGCGGGAUAGCCCCAAAUGUUACAAAUUAACAGACAAAACAGUCAUUGGAUGCAGUGGUUUUCAUGGAGACUGCCUUACGCUGACAAAGAUUAUUGAAGCAAGACUAAAGAUGUAUAAGCAUUCCAAUAAUAAGGCCAUGACUACGGGGGCAAUUGCUGCAAUGCUGUCUACAAUCCUGUAUUCAAGGCGCUUCUUUCCAUACUAUGUUUACAACAUCAUCGGUGGACUUGAUGAAGAAGGAAAGGGGGCUGUAUACAGCUUUGAUCCAGUAGGGUCUUACCAGAGAGACUCCUUCAAGGCUGGAGGCUCAGCAAGUGCCAUGCUACAGCCCCUGCUUGACAACCAGGUUGGUUUUAAGAACAUGCAGAAUGUGGAGCAUGUUCCACUGUCCUUGGACAGAGCCAUGCGGCUGGUGAAAGAUGUCUUCAUUUCUGCGGCUGAGAGAGAUGUGUACACUGGGGACGCACUCCGGAUCUGCAUAGUGACCAAAGAGGGCAUCAGGGAGGAGACUGUUUCCUUAAGGAAGGACU
rnacentral:sRNA from 1 species